rnacentral:rRNA from 1 species
GAUGAACGCUGGCGGCGUGCCUAAUACAUGCAAGUCGAGCGAAUGGAUUGAGAGCUUGCUCCUAUGAAGUUAGCGGCGGACGGGUGAGUAACACGUGGGUAACCUGCCCAUAAGACUGGGAUAACUCCGGGAAACCGGGGCUAAUACCGGAUAACAUUUUGAACCGCAUGGUUCGAAAUUGAAAGGCGGCUUCGGCUGUCACUUAUGGAUGUACCCGCGUCGCAUUAGCUAGUUGGUGAGGUAACGGCUCACCAAGGCAACGAUGCGUAGCCGGUCUGAGAGGUUGAUCGGCCACACUGGGACUGAGACACGGCCCAGACUCCUCCGGGAGGCAGCAGUAGGGAAUCUUCCGCAAUGGACGAAAGUCUGACGGAGCAACGCCGCGUGAGUGAUGAAGGCUUUCGGGUCGUAAAACUCUGUUGUUAGGGAAGAACAAGUGCUAGUUGAAUAAGCUGGCACCUUGACGGUACCUAACCAGAAAGCCACGGCUAACUACGUGCCAGCCGCCGCAGUAA